rnacentral:rRNA from 1 species
AGAUUGAACGCUGGCGGCGUGCUUAACACAUGCAAGUCGAGCGGAAAGGCCCUUCGGGGUACUCGAGCGGCGAACGGGUGAGUAACACGUGAGCAACCUGCCCUUAGCUCUGGGAUAGCUCCGGGAAACCGGAAUUAAUACCGGAUAUGACCUAGGCCGACAUCGGCCGUGGUGGAAAGUUUUUCGGCUAGGGAUGGACUCGCGGCCUAUCAGCUAGUUGGUGGGGUAAUGGCCUACCAAGGCGACGACGGGUAGCCGGCCUGAGAGGGCGACCGGCCACACUGGGACUGAGACACGGCCCAGACUCCUACGGGAGGCAGCAGUGGGAAUCUUGCGCAAUGGGCGAAAGCCUGACGCAGCGACGCCGCGUGGGGGAUGAAGGCCUUCGGGUUGUAAACCCUUUCAGCAGGGACGAAGCGAAAGUGACGGUACCUGCAGAAGAAGCGCCGGCUAACUACGUGCCAGCAGCCGC